rnacentral:lncRNA from 1 species
AUGACCGUGUGAUUUUUUUCACAACCAGGCGUCCCAUGGAAAUAAUUAUCUUACCUCAGUUUUCAUCCACGGCUUCCAAGCCCAACCAUGACAUGGUUAAUUGGAGAGAUCCAUCACCUUCUCGUGGAAUCCUCUUGAAGCGUUUGUCAACUCAUGCUCAAGGACAUCGCUCGUGCAGUUUCCCACCUGAUUAAUCCAUGUAGCCAAGCUGUCCAUCCCCAAAUCCCAGCAAGGUCCUUCCCUAUGACCAGCUCCCCAGCAGGCUGGCUGUGACCUCCCUGAAGGGGUCCAGGGAGAAAGCACACUGGCCGGGGAGGCAGGAGAAAUCGGUUCCAGCCUCGCACUCAUCACCAACUUGCUUUGUGACUUUUGGUUCUACAAGCUCUACAGGAAGCGUGGAUUGGGAGGCCUCAGGAAACUUACAAUCAUGGCAGAAGGUGAGGAAGAAGCAGGCACGACUUACGUAGCUGAAGCAGGAGGAA